rnacentral:rRNA from 1 species
UGGCUCGGAACGAACGCUGGCGGCGCGUCUUAAGCAUGCAAGUCGAACGGCAAGAGGUAGCAAUACCUCCUAGAGUGGCGGACUGGUGAGUAACACGUGGGUGACAUACCCUUCAGAUGGGGAUAGCUAUUAGAAAUAGUAGAUAAUACCGAAUACGAGCACAGGGGUUAGAGAUCUGUGAGGAAAGGAGCUAAGGCUCCGCUGAAGGAAUGGCCUGCGGCCCAUUAGCUAGUUGGUGAGGUAAGAGCCCACCAAGGCGAUGAUGGGUAUCCGGCCUUAGAGGGUGAACGGACACAUUGGGACUGAGAUACGGCCCAGACUCCUACGGGAGGCAGCAGCUAAGAAUAUUCCGCAAUGGACGAAAGUCUGACGGAGCGACGCCGCGUGGAUGAAGAAGGCCGGAAGGUUGUAAAAUCCUUUUGAAACUGAAGAAUAAGCGUUGUAGGGAAUGACAGCGUGGUGACAGUAGGUUUUGAAUAAGCAACGGCUAAUUACGUGCCAGCCGCCGC